CACACACACACACAAACCCAAGCAAGUCACUUUUUCCCCGCUUUGUGUUCGUUCUCAUGCCUUUGCCAAUCAGCUGAAGAUGUUGAUUUCACUCUCAUGAGGGCCGCUGGUGACUCACCGGCCAUGUUGAGGGGGGGAACUCCUAAAACUCUGACUGGACGCACGCUGCCAUGGCAACAGACUGCAAACCAGCUAAGCAUAAUCACAAUGUCGUUGCCACGGGCGAAACGCACGUGUAUAUUUAGGCAUGUAAGCGACGACCCGUGUAGCUUCUUCCUCCUGAUGCAUGCAGUGUUUUCCCAGGGUGUUUCAGGACGAAGGCAUGUCGCCGGUGGCAACAGAGCAGGGGACAAACGGGGGGGCAAACGGGUGCAAGUCGUUGCCUAAGUGCAAACCGAGGAGGAACAUGUUGGUAUGCAAAGGGUGGAGAGGUUGGGAGACAUUUCGCACGGCUGUGACAUCAAUUGUUAUUACUCAUGGUCACCGUUUAAUUCUCAGUGAUGUGCUCCAAAUGAGCGCGGUGACAGAUUGUCAUUUACCUCUAAGACACGUUGUACCAUUUAGAUUACAGUGAGCUACUAAAGUAAGGCGAGGCUAUAGUUUAUUUGGCGUCUCAUUUGUACUCUGCAGGUGUGUUAUCGUCUGUAUAACGAGGCAUUUCUCAGCGUUUUUUAGAGGUGGUGUCGAGCAUUUGCGGAGUUGUGGUUCCCUAAACAUCCAAGUGGAGCACGGUUGAGUUUCCUUAAUCUAAGUUGGGUGUUUUCAGAAAGGAGGACUUAGCAAUAAGCAGCUACCAGCACUUGUUUCCUGUCUAAUAUCGACUGUCACAAUAUAGUUACUAGAUUCAUAUCUACCUCGAAAGCAGUUGGUACCAGAAAUUCUUGUGACUGGCAUGAAAAGGCAGCUCAAGUACAACCAGUAAGUUCUUGUACCACGUUUUGAGAAUCCUGGGUUUGAAAAAAAGGAAUAUUUGUGUUUUAGAAUCAGCCGACCAGUUUCAGACUUAAAUGUCUACAGCAAAACUGGAAGAUGGAUGUUAACAGAUGUUCUCCAGGAAGUCCAAUUGACCCGGAAAUAUUUUCCAAAUCUGAACAGUCGAAACGUUUACUCUGUAGAUGUGCGACGGUACUUUGUAAUGGUAAAAAAAAAUUUAAAAUUCCCAGAAACUUGUGGUUGUACUUUUGCAAGAAACAGGACAGUGAGGGGGAAACUCUUUGAACUGCAGCAAAUCUUCUAUCCGUUAAAAACAAAUCAAAUGGAAAAGUAAUAAAAAAACAAACAUCUCCUUGUUCAUCGUCGGCCUGCAGGGCCGGGAGCGGAUUCCUGCGUUUCAAAUCCGACACAACUGAGGCGCGGGGGCAGAAGCCAGCAUCAUUUUUCAAUAGGUCAAACGGCUCAACAUGUGGCAAUGUCUGAGGGAAGAGAGCAGCAACACGGCGAAACCGGUCUCAUCCUUCCCCUCUGGAUGAGGGGGGGAAAGAAAAGCUGCUUAAGAACGGCAUCAAUUUCCAUAUCGGUGAAAUGCUUUGUGCUGAAAGCCGAACUAUCUACACACUUGGCAUCAUCUCUGAAGCAGAACUGCGUAGAUGGCGGGAGACGUUAGCGCGAUUUAAUGUGCUGUUGACAAGCGUCAAGGUAAUCACAUCGGGAAUCAAACGAGCCCACUGAUGGCGCUGACGGCUACUUCCGCUCCCCGCCACACGACGGAGGGCAAAACAUUCACCUCUCGUCAUUUUUCCUCCCCACAAGUCUUUGCAAAAGAUGGGGAAGAAGUUGGAGGUGCUCUGGUGCGUUUUGGCCCAAAUAGGGAGAACAGAACUCGAAACUCUCACUGCAAACACACAACGAUGGCAGCAUCAUGCUGUGGGUACACGCUUUUUCAGCAGGGACUGUUAGUCUGGUUGGUGGUAGAUGGGAAGGUAGGUGGAGAUAAAUUUCUGACGAUCCUGUUAGCGGUUUUCCUUCCAUCAGACCGAAAGGAUAGUCGUGUGUCAGAAUGGUCUAGUCAAAGUCCAGACCUAAAUUUGUGUACAAAUCUUUAGAAAGACUUGGAAACGUCUGUCUUUCAGUUAAAUGAACUCAAACUCUUUAGUUUUAAUUUAAUCCCAACAAAAGUUGCAAUAAGCUACACUGUAAAAACGUGUAGUUGUGUCUAACUUCUGAUCUUUAAGUCAAAGAAAUAUUGCAGGUUUAAGGUUUUGAACUCAAUUAUGUGAGUUUUGAAAGACAAACUUACAGCUGUGAGACGUGUUAACUUUUUCCUCAUUUUGUCGUACCUUCAAAAGUUGAGAGAGCUCAGGUUUUUAAGUGAGCAUUUAAAAAAAAAAAAAAGAACUGAAUGAGGGAGUGGGAACUAUUUCCCAGAGUGCUUUGCAUCACCUGUUUGUAUCGAAGAUGGAUGUGUGUUACAGCGACCCGCCUCUUGUGUGUUAUCGAGGCAGAUGUUUGUUGAAUCUGACUAAAAUUCAAUAAACUGCAUUUUAGACAUUUUUCUUCCAACUUACAAUAAAUAAUCAAUCUUAACUCAAUAAGGUAAUUCAGAAGGAUACAGAAAUUUAUCACGACGACUCACAAUUAAAGAUUAGUGCACUAUCAGAACUAAAAGAAAAACAAACCCCAAAACAAAAACAAUGUUUAGACUAAUUGUUUUUUGCUGAAUCAUUUUUUGAUGAACUUUUCAUUUUUGAAUUAAAACCAGAACGAUUCUCCCAUUGACUUCACUUGCAUCUCCAGCCUUCGUUGUCGAGCCAAAACCCACCUUCGGAUGUUUUGCAGUGUACUUAUUGAAGAUCUGUGCCUGUUUGGGUCGGAAACGUCAAAUCAGCGAUGGAGGCGUAACGCGCAGCGAGUACGCCGACUUCAGCCUGGAGGCGCGCUGAAUGGGAACUGGUUCCAAGUUUAAAUCCAGUUUGUAGGUAACUGCGAGUUCAUUAAGAAGUGGGCUGAAGGGGGUCGGGGCGGCACGCGCAUCAGGAACAGUUUGUUCAUUUUCAUAUGCAAAACGUCUGAAAAAGAAAAAAAAACACAAAAAAAUACCUUGGGACAUACGGAGAGUCUGAGCUCAUCAUGAGGGGAAACAUAACACCAACCGGACCCUCGGUAAGGAGAAAACACGCAGCCGGCUCAGACUUCAGACGGCUGCCUGCGUGUGGCUGCAUUCUGACCGGGUCGAAGGUCAAACGCAGAAGCCGCGAGCGUGAUUACAUAACGGAGUGGGAGCGAGAUGUACUGGAACGGAUCAUUCCGUGUCCCAGACGCCACACCUUCAAACAAUCCUUUCAACAUGCCAGCUUCAUUUUAUGGGAGGUAAUUUUGAAGACGCGCAGCCUGGAAAACCUCAGACAAACACACCAAACCGAGAUGAGUAACUCGGCCUCUGAUGCAUGGAAACAACACACGUCCCGCUUCACAAUGUGACUCAGGAUGCAGUUGGGGGGAAGGCGGGAGGAGAGAAAUAACCGAAUAUCUAUGCGGUGAGGCAUCUUGAGACCCAAACCGCUUCCAGGACGCGAUGUGAGACGGACGGCGGAGGAUUGAGGACAAAAAAGGACAAAGCAGAAUGCGGUUGGACCUGCUCGUUGCUCUGGGUGUGGGCUACCCCACCCCGCAGAGUGGAAACCUAUUGGAUGUUGAGCCAUGCCACGGCAAAGAAAGGGGAGGGCAGGAGUUUGGUCACAACAUGUCUUUAAAAUCCCAACAGAAGAAACGGACCAAUCAGGUGCCUGUAAAAGCCGUGGAGGAAAACCAAUAGGAGAGGCCAGUGGAUCAGUUACCUGACAAACCAGAGCGGCGAUGAAGUUUGACUCGCAGCCUUGCAGAGAUAUUACAACCCCCUGAACUCACUUUAUCUCACGUCUUACAACCAACUUCAUUGUAUUUAAUGGCUAUUUUGUGCCAGACUAACUUGAAAUAUUGCAUUUUUUAUUUAUUUAUUUAUUUUUUUUUACAAAGGCACAAGUCUAAACCGACAUAUGUUAUAGUAAAUUACUGAAAAUAAACCAAUUAAAAUGAAA